GGUUAGAGUACCAGACUGUCGAUCUGGAUGUUGCGGGUUCGAGUCCCGUCGGCCUCG
rnacentral:tRNA from 1 species